rnacentral:rRNA from 1 species
UACGUAGGGGGCUAGCGUUGUCCGGAUUUAUUGGGCGUAAAGAGCGUGUAGGCGGCCCUGUAAGUCCGUUGUGAAAGUCAAAGGCUCAACCUUUGAAAGCCGAUGGAUACUGCAGGGCUAGAGUCCGGAAGAGGCGAGUGGAAUUCCUGGUGUAGCGGUGGAAUGCGCAGAUAUCAGGAGGAACACCAAUAGCGAAGGCAGCUCGCUGGGACGGUACUGACGCUAAGGCGCGAAAGCGUGGGGAGCGAACAGG